rnacentral:rRNA from 1 species
CAGAGAUUGCAAGCGUUAUUCGGAUUCACUGGGCGUAAAGGGUGCGCAGGCGGCCAAGUGUGUGAGGCGUGAAAGCCUGGAGCUUAACUCCAGAAUUGCACCUCAAACUACUUGGCUAGAGCAUUGGAGAGGGUAGCAGAAUUCAUGGUGUAGCAGUGAAAUGCGUAGAUAUCAUGAGGAAUACCAGAGGCGAAGGCGGCUACCUGGACAAUUGCUGACGCUCAGGCACGAAAGCGUGGGGAGCAAAAGGGAUUAGAUACCCCUGUAGUCCACGCCCUAAACGGUGCACACUAGGUCUUGGCGGAUUCGACCCCCCAGGGCCCAAGCUAACGCGUUAAGUGUGCCGCCUGAGGACUACGGCCGCAAGGCUA